UGCAGUCGAGCGGAUCUCUUCGGAGGUCAGCGGCGGACGGGUGAGUAACACGUGGGCAACCUGCCUGUAAGACUGGGAUAACUCCGGGAAACCGGAGCUAAUACCGGAUACUAUGUCAAACCGCAUGGUUUGACAUUCAAAGACGGUUUCGGCUGUCACUUACAGAUGGGCCCGCGGCGCAUUAGCUAGUUGGUGAGGUAAUGGCUCACCAAGGCGACGAUGCGUAGCCGACCUGAGAGGGUGAUCGGCCACACUGGGACUGAGACACGGCCCAGACUCCUACGGGAGGCAGCAGUAGGGAAUCUUCCGCAAUGGACGAAAGUCUGACGGAGCAACGCCGCGUGAGUGAUGAAGGUUUUCGGAUCGUAAAACUCUGUUGUCAGGGAAGAACAAGUGCCGGAGUAACUGCCGGCGCCUUGACGGUACCUGACCAGAAAGCCACGGCUAACUACGUGCCAGCAGCCGCGGUAAUACGUAGGUGGCAAGCGUUGUCCGGAAUUAUUGGGCGUAAAGCGCGCGCAGGCGGUUUCUUAAGUCUGAUGUGAAAGCCCCCGGCUCAACCGGGGAGGGUCAUUGGAAACUGGGAAACUUGAGUGCAGAAGAGGAGAGUGGAAUUCCACGUGUAGCGGUGAAAUGCGUAGAGAUGUGGAGGAACACCAGUGGCGAAGGCGACUCUCUGGUCUGUAACUGACGCUGAGGCGCGAAAGCGUGGGGAGCGAACAGGAUUAGAUACCCUGGUAGUCCACGCCGUACACGAUGAGUGCUAAGUGUUAGA
rnacentral:rRNA from 2 species